rnacentral:ncRNA from 1 species
CGUCUCCUCCAUGUCUCCUCCUGAUAUGGAUUCAGCCCGCUCGAUGAGCGGGCUUUUUUUA